rnacentral:rRNA from 1 species
GAUUAAGCCAUGCAUGUGUAAGUAUAAAUAAUUGACUUUGAAACUGCGAAUGGCUCAUUAUAUCAGUUAUAGUUUAUUUGGUGAAGGAUACUAAUUGGAUAACCGUAGUAAUUCUAGGGCUAAUACAUGAGUAAAGUCCCGUUGGGAUGUGUUUAUUAGAAUGAAAACCAUAUGCUUCGGCAUGAUAGUGAGUAAUAGUAACCUAUCGUAUCGCAUGCUUAAAGUAGCGAUGAGUCUUUCAAGUUUCUGCCCUAUCAUCUUUCGAUGGUAGCAUAUGGGUCUACCAUG